rnacentral:rRNA from 1 species
CCUACGGGGGGCAGCAGUGGGGAAUAUUGGACAAUGGGGGGAACCCUGAUCCAGCCAUGCCGCGUGUGUGAAGAAGGCCCUCGGGUUGUAAAGCACUUUCAGUGAGGAAGAACGCCUGGUGGUUAAUACCCAUCAGGAAAGACAUCACUCACAGAAGAAGCACCGGCUAACUCCGUGCCAGCAGCCGCGGUAAUACGGAGGGUGCGAGCGUUAAUCGGAAUUACUGGGCGUAAAGCGCGCGUAGGUGGCUUGAUAAGCCGGUUGUGAAAGCCCCGGGCUCAACCUGGGAACGGCAUCCGGAACUGGCAAGCUAGAGUGCAGGAGAGGAAGGUAGAAUUCCCGGUGUAGCGGUGAAAUGCGUAGAGAUCGGGAGGAAUACCAGUGGCGAAGGCGGCCUUCUGGACUGACACUGACACUGAGGUGCGAAAGCGUGGGUAGCAAACAGGAUUAGAUACUCCAGUAGUC